GAUGAACGCUGGCGGCGUGCCUAAUACAUGCAAGUCGAGCGAACAGACGAGGAGCUUGCUCCUCUGACGUUAGCGGCGGACGGGUGAGUAACACGUGGAUAACCUACCUAUAAGACUGGGAUAACUUCGGGAAACCGGAGCUAAUACCGGAUAAUAUAUUGAACCGCAUGGUUCAAUAGUGAAAGACGGUUUUGCUGUCACUUUUAGAUGGAUCCGCGCCGCAUUAGCUAGUUGGUAAGGUAACGGCUUACCAAGGAAACGAUGCGUAGCCGACCUGAGAGGGUGAUCGGCCACACUGGAACUGAGACACGGUCCAGACUCCUACGGGAGGCAGCAGUAGGGAAUCUUCCGCAAUGGGCGAAAGCUUGACGGAGCAACGCCGCGUGAGUGAUGAAGGUCUUCGGAUCGUAAAACUCUGUUAUUAGGGAAGAACAAAUGUGUAAGUAACUAUGCACGUCUUGACGGUACCUAAUCAGAAAGCCACGGCUAACUACGU
rnacentral:rRNA from 1 species